rnacentral:lncRNA from 1 species
UGGAGACCAGUUUGAUAUUGAUGGACAAGAGAUGAUAGAACUUGCACAGCUUUCUCUUGAUGAACCGGAGUUGGAGGGGAUCACAUUUCAAGAGGUUGAGGAGAGUGAAGAACAGCUGAAUGGAGAUGAAUGUUAGGAAGUUGCAAGCAUAAGUAAUAAUAGCUAGUUUGUGAUGUUUUUGGUUUUAAUUUUGGACUAAGUAAGACAUCUUUCUUUUGUUUUUUGUUUUGAGCUAUGGAUUUGGAAUGAAUUUGGGUGGUUUAUGUAAGACAAGUAAAUGUUUAUGAAUGCCAGUUUGUAUUAAUUAAGCUUAUCAAUCUUUUAUGAGAA